AAACUGUUAAAGACUCUGGAAUCGCUGUGAAGUCCAUCCUACAAUAGACGAUGAUGACAUAGUAGCUACUCGCACACUAUUACCGUAGCUUCCGAAAAGAGACUUUUGUCUCGUGGUGUGAGAAUUUGGUUCUGAUUCUACAAGUAUGGUGUCCAAGUCUUAAUUCUUAUGGAUUAUGGAUCACUUGUCAUGAAUUAUUGAAUUAUCACAGUAGUGCCUACUGACCUCGGGAAGACGGUGCAGCCUUGGUGUCAAGUGCCUUCGAUGCGUCAAUCACAUGAGUCUUUACAAUGGACACUUUCUGCAUUUCACAGUUCGCUAUGAUCUUCUGUAUUUUAGGUUGACUCUUGUCAAAUGCUACAAUCAAACCCUACAGAAAGAUGACUAUGUAUGUGCUGUUGGAUGAUGCACAGUUCCUUAAGUCAUAAAGUACAGAGACAUAACAAGGAUACCAUACAUGUAAAGGGCGAUUUAGACGCUACGACUCUCGCCUACAACCAUUGCAUUCGACACGCUCGCAUCAGCAUACAACUCAAGUCGCAAAGUCUAAAUCAGCUCUACAACUCCGCUACCACAUGAGCGUACAACACGAAAAAGUUGUAAGAGUCUUGCAACAAAAACUUCACAACUUUCUGUCCAUAUUUGGUAAAAUUAAGAAAACAUUGAGGCGAAUUGUCCUUUUAGGGCGAGAGACGGGGGGCAAUGACUGUUUUGGUUUGCAAAUAUGGUGAAAAUCCAUACUAAGAUAUUGUCUGCAAUCACAUGGAUCUUUGGCCAAACGUACCUCCUCCAAGAUUAAACAAUACUACCCAUUCUGUCAGCCAUUCCUUCUCCCGCCCCUUCGUCUUUUUCCAUUUGUUUAAGGCAUAAAAUUGCAGCAGCAAGUGCCGCAGAUUUAACAGGGUGUCUGUCCGCCAUGUUUUUUGUUGUUGGUCCCAGUUCUCGACGAGUAAAAAAGCGCAAAAGUCUUACGCGAUUUUCUCGAGACGUAAGCGAAAAGUCCUUUUUCAAAUGGUAUCUAUGAUUCUGUACCCCCCUUAGCCAAUCAGGGGAUGUGCCUGUCUAAGGCAAGGUGUUAGAAAACAAAGCUAACAUCACAUUUUUGACCAUUCAUGAUGUGAGCUGACCUUGUUCUUCAUUAGGGCAGCAAUAUGGCAUGUCUUUCCUCCUAAAAAUUAAAUAUUGAUAUGUUUAUUUAUUGAGAUUCAUUUAUAAAAAAAAUAAUUUAUCUAUUUUAAAAUUUGUAAAAAAAAUUAACAAUAAAUGUCAGUGGAAAAGAGUUGCAUUUUUUGUAGUGUUUAUGUUCUAUAGAUUAACCUUAAAUAAGUUGAAGCCCUAAAAAUAAGAACUUUGUGAGUCAAAAAAGCCUAAAAAUAAGAACUUUGUGAGUCAUAGUUUAAAACCGGGGAAAAAAUAAUCAGUGCUGUUCAACAGAA